UACAGAGGUCUCAAGCGUUGUUCGGAAUCACUGGGCGUAGGAGGUCGUAGAGCGGGUUUUUAAGUCAGGGGUGAAAUCCUGGAGCUCAACUCCAGAACUGCCUUUGAUACUGAAGAUCUCGAGUCCGGGAGAGGUGAGUGGAACUGCGAGUGUAGAGGUGAAAUUCGUAGAUAUUCGCAAGAACACCAGUGGCGAAGGCGGCUCACUGGCCCGAUACUGACGCUGAGGCACGAAAGCGUGGGGGAGCAAACAGG
rnacentral:rRNA from 1 species